rnacentral:tRNA from 1 species
GCCUCCUUAGCUCAGUGGUAGAGCACCCGCCUUGUAAGCGGGAUGUCAUCGGUUCAAUCCCGAUAGGAGGCU